AGUGAACGCUGGCGGUAGGCCUAACACAUGCAAGUCGAACGGCAGCACAGGAGAGCUUGCUCUCUGGGUGGCGAGUGGCGGACGGGUGAGGAAUACAUCGGGAUCUACUCUGUCGUGGGGGAUAACGUAGGGAAACUUACGCUAAUACCGCAUACGACCUAAGGGUGAAAGCAGGGGACCUUCGGGCCUCGCGCGAUUGAAUGAGCCGAUGUCGGAUUAGCUAGUUGGCGGGGUAAAGGCCCACCAAGGAGACGAUCCGUAGCUGGUCUGAGAGGAUGAUCAGCCACACUGGAACUGAGACACGGUCCAGACUCCUACGGGAGGCAGCAGUGGGGAAUAUUGGACAAUGGGCGCAAGCCUGAUCCAGCCAUACCGCGUGGGUGAAGAAGGCCUUCGGGUUGUAAAGCCCUUUUGUUGGGAAAGAAAUCCAGCUGGCUAAUACCCGGUUGGGAUGACGGUACCCAAAGAAUAAGCACCGGCUAACUUCGUGCCAGCCGCCGCCGUAA
rnacentral:rRNA from 1 species